AGAUAGGCGUUGCGGUGGGAAGGGAAAACCCAGCAGGCUCUGUUCGCGAGAUCUGGGCUCUAGGCUCACGGCAAGGAAACCAGGGCCCCCACUCCUGGUUGCAGCGUCCCUGCGUGCACCCGUUAGCAAAUAUUCCCGAAGAGGGGUUGGGGAGGUGACGGCUGCCUUGGGCGUGGGGAGAGUGAGCCCUGCGAUGUAAUGGAAAAAACGGAUUCUGGAGGUGGACUUACUGAGGCAAACAUGACUGUUCCCUGGGUUGCUCCUGAAGUCAGCCUUCUGGAAAGUUCCUCUGAGGAAGAAGUGAAUUGUUGAUCCACCCAAGUUUCCCAACCCCAGCCGCCAAGGACCUGGUGAUGCAAUCAAGACAUUCCAACAUAUUACACAGGGAGAGAGCAGCUGCUGUGGCUGGAGGGCAGGUGUGAGGAAGAGACCCACUCCACCUACGCCCCGCACAAGCAAGACCUUCCUGUCAGUGAGGGUCACAGACCAUCAGUGCUACAAGAGACUUCAGAAGCCAUUUGGUCACACCCCCUCAAUUUUACAGACUGGGAGGUGAUCCAGAGGUCAACACAAGGUUAUAGAGGAAAGCACUGGCAGAGGCAGUAAUUAGAAUUAGGAUCUCCCAGAACACCAAAAAGCUCCUUGAAGGCAGGUACUGGACCCCAACUCUUGUACUCAAUGUAAAAUCUGGUCCAGUACCUGGCACAGAGAGCAGAUGUUGAGAAAGUAUGAACCAAUGGAAAGCAGAGCAAAUAAUCUGGUACACUGAAACCUAUACAGGAGGACCAACGUGUGUGCAUCAGACCCACCUUCAUCUUCAUCUUCAUCCUCCUCGUCUUCAUCUUCAUCAACUUCUCCAUCGUGUCCAAAUUCUUCUUCCUAAAGAACAGUAAACAGCAACCACUAUUAGGUUGAUCUGCCAAGCUGAGACGUACAAAGAGAAAAAUAACUUGCCAAUAAAUGUAAAAAUUCACCAAGGAGAAAACUUUAAUAUUAUCUUUAUCUACUUUAAUGUUCUGAGAUCUGUUCGUUUUUCUGAAUAAAUGAAUUAAAAUUUUCUUUAAAAACUGC